rnacentral:rRNA from 1 species
UAACACGUAGGGGGCAAGCGUUGUCCGGAUUUAUUGGGCGUAAAGAGCUCGUAGGUGGUUCGGUAAGUCGGGUGUGAAACCUCCAGGCUCAACCUGGAGACGCCACCCGAUACUGCUGUGACUGGAGUCCGGUAGGGGAGCGUGGAAUUCCUGGUGUAGCGGUGAAAUGCGCAGAUAUCAGGAGGAACACCAGCGGCGAAGGCGGCGCUCUGGGCCGGUACUGACACUGAGGAGCGAAAGCGUGGGUAGCAAACAGGAUUAGAUACCCUGGUAGUCCACGCCGUAAACGUUGGGCACUAGGUGUGGGUCUCAACCAACGGGAUCCGUGCCGUAGCUAACGCAUUAAGUGCCCCGCCUGGGGAGUACGGCCGCAAGGCUA